rnacentral:rRNA from 1 species
AACGAACGCUGGCGGCAUGGCUGAGACAUGCAAGUCGUACGGAACACCGUAGCAAUAUGGUGUUUAGUGGCGAAAGGGUGAGUAAUGAAUAGGUAACGUACCCUGAACACGGGAAUAACAGCGGGCCGCAAGGCCCUUUGCGAAAGUGCUGCUAAUGCCCGAUGACAUCACUGUUCCGCAUGGUUCGGUGAUCAAACGUGGGGACCGCAAGGCCUACGGGUUUAGGAGCGGCCUAUUUCCUAUCAGCUAGUUGGCGAGGUAACGGCUCACCAAGGCUGCGACGGGUAGCGGGACUGAGAGGUCGGCCCGCCACACUGGGACUGAGACACGGCCCAGACUCCUACGGGAGGCAGCAGUGGGGAAUAUUGGACAAUGGGCGCAAGCCUGAUCCAGCGAUGCCGCGUGUGUGAAGAAGGCCUGCGGGUUGUAAGCACUUUC